rnacentral:piRNA from 1 species
UGGCUUUUGCAUAUUGUGUGAAACUGGGAC